rnacentral:siRNA from 1 species
CAACAAGAUCAGGUAGAACUGU